AUGUAUUCCUAUUUAUUUUCUUCACGAAGAAGGUUAUCCUUAUUAUCCGAAGUGAUAACUAUGAAUUUAAGCUGAGUAUCAUGAACCAAUCCAUCUAGUUUCUGUGCUACCGUGUGAGAGAAGUCUCAAAGAAUUAUCCGGAAAUUUAGUAUUUUCGAAUAGGACGAAUCUUCGGUGAUUUAAUAUAGGAAGAGGCAGAAUUUUUGCGCCACGCACCAAGUUUCAGAAUAUCAACGAGAGGAUAAAAUUGCCACUUUUACCGAUGAAUUCGAAUGCAAAUUAGGCCAAACACCUCCUAAUUGGCAAUUUUGUACUAUUUUUGAGAGCACUGUGAUCAUCUGGAAUCUUGAACUCACCGAAUCGGAUAAUUCUUAUUGGAUUUGUCUGACACAAUUAGAUGCUCGGGACGUGUAUCCGCCCAUCUUGAAGCUCUCGAUGAAACUGAAUGUGUUGAAUUUCUAUGGAAAAACUCAGAAGUCACUUCAGUACUGUAUUGAAGAUUGGCCACUUGGUCAUAGAUACGGUGUAUUUCAAUGGGCCACCAACUUCGAAGGAAAUCUCACGGCGUUGGUGGCUGAUGCUAUUAAGAACAAGCAAACAAUUCAAGUGGUCACUCACAUGGAUUUCAUGAUUGAUGAUUUAUCGGAUCUGGAUUAUUUGAUGAGAGAUGAUGGAGCGCCCAGUUUGCCUGCCACUUUGGAGUUCUACUUCGACGCUUUUACGAAUCAAUCCCGUCACGACUUGAAGCUGAGAACAUCUGAUGGCAGUCAAUUUAUCACGACCAGCCAUGCCCUUCUCUUCUUGACAUCUUCCUAUUUUCGUGAGAAUUUGAAGAUCUCAACUUCUGACUACACAGUUGUUGGAGUAGAUUCCUUGGAUACCAUUGACAUUUGUCUCAAUUUUAUGGUUACGAGAUUCUACAAGAAACCAGCUGUGCUCUCGCCAAAACUUGCUUUUGACAUUUUCACUUUGGCCACGCAAUGGAAUGUUUUCAAUCCGUAUAUUCUCACGAUUUCGCUUAAAAGACAGUUGUUCGAGGAGCUGAAAAAGAACCAUGGAGAUCUCGAAUACGUGUGCAACAUGCUGAUUGUCGCCGAAGACGCUAAGUUCCCAAAUGUCCAAAGCUGCUGCAUCGCCACUCUCGUCUACUAUCAUUUCAACGAUUUCAUGCGGAUCACGGACGGGACAUGGUGCGGAGCAUUGUGCGGAUCAUGGUGGAACCCGAUUCACCCAUUGAAAGGAAGACUAGUCGAACGCCGAGAAGGGGCAGAUGAUCACUGGCGGAACAGGUGA
rnacentral:misc_RNA from 1 species